CAACUUGAGAGUUUGAUCCUGGCUCAGAACGAACGCUGGCGGCAGGCCUAACACAUGCAAGUCGAGCGGGCCCU
rnacentral:ncRNA from 1 species